UGCCUUAUAAAAGUUAUUAUAAUAAUAUUAAUAUAUAUAUGUACAGUGAAACAUCUGUUAACAGUGGAUUAAAAAACCACACAAACAAACAACAAAAUAGAUAUUCACAACUUGCUGCCAUUAAACCACUAAAUGGAGGGAAUGUCACCACAAAAGAGGGGGGAUAGGAGGGGUCCUGAUCCCAAAAUGACAGGUUUAAAAACACAAAAUCUUGAGGUCCUGAAUCUAAUUAAAUGUAAAUCCCGACAUCCUGAAAAGGAGCUUAAAAACACCCGAUCCUGAAGUCCUGAUAAAGGUCCUAUUCCCCCUCACAAAACAUUCAAGUACAAAAAUUAUAAAUAUAUAAUUUAACAACUUUAUAUAUAAAUAAUAAAAAUAAAUGUUUUAUAUUAAAAAAAAAUAUGAUUACAACAUUCUAAAAAAUAACCCAUAUCAUCUAUACUGGAUAUUGUACUUUGCAGACAUAUAUAAAUAUAGAUUUACAGUAUAUUACAAAUAUAUACACAAUUUUACAAUAAUAAUCGAUGUAAUGAAUCACUACAAACCUGUAAUGAUCAACCCUGAGAGAUGUAAAAACAAUUGUCUUUUCACAACAAUAUUAAUAACAAUGAACUGUUGACCCUUCUGGAAUGCCUGAAUUCUCUCCCUUGAUUUUGUGGAAUUCAUAUUGCUCAAUCUUUUUGUUGCUGAGGGGAUUUGGAAUUGGUGUUUUCUUAAAGAUGAGUUCAUGUCUGUGCAAGACAUUUUAGACUAACAUUGCUUUGUCAGGCUUUUAAGACUUUUAGAUUACUUUCCGUAAUCAAUAACUCUGAUAAUAAAUAUACCAUUAUAUUACAUAGGUGUAACAUUCUACUGUUUUAAUUGGAUAUGACGAUCACAUGUUUUAAAGUUUAUUUUACAUAUCUGACGUCUAGUUCCUAUUUCAAUGUAUAUUGACGCUAUGUUUCUAUUCAUACGUAUAUUGGUGGUCAAUAUGAAAAUGUUAAUAAAUUUAGAUUCAUGACGUCAAACAUAACAACCACGGAGGAGCACUGCAUCAGAGAAGAAAAUUUGGAAGUUUAUCAGGAGAUUUCAAGAAUUUUAUGUUAAAUGCAGACGAUAAUAAUACAAGAAUGCUGA
rnacentral:lncRNA from 1 species